AGAAACCAACAGGGAUUGCCUUAGUAACGGCGAGUGAAGCGGCAAUAGCUCAAAUUUGAAAGCUGGCCCCUUCGGGGUCCGCGUUGUAAUUUGUAGAGGAUGAUUCGGCGAGGGCUCCCGUCUAAGUCCCUUGGAACAGGGCGUCAUAGAGGGUGAGAAUCCCGUAUGUGAUGGGCUGCCUUAGCCAUGUGAAUCUCCUUCGACGAGUCGAGUUGUUUGGGAAUGCAGCUCUAAAUGGGAGGUAAAUUUCUUCUAAAGCUAAAUACCGGCCAGAGACCGAUAGCGCACAAGUAGAGUGAUCGAAAGAUGAAAAGCACUUUGGAAAGAGAGUUAAAAAGUACGUGAAAUUGUUGAAAGGGAAGCGCUUGCAGCCAGACUUGUCCGCAGUUGCUCAGCUUGUCUCCUGACAGGCGUACUCUUCUGCGGCCAGGCCAGCAUCAGUUCGGGCGGUCGGAUAAAGACCUGGGGAAUGUAGCUCCUCUCGGGGAGUGUUAUAGCCCUGGGUGCAAUGCGGCCAGCCUGGACUGAGGAUCUCGCUUCGGCUAGGAUGCUGGCGUAAUGGCUGUAAGCGGCCCGUCUUGAAACACGGACCAAGGAGUCUAACAUCUAUGCGAGUGUUUGGGUGUCAAACCCAUGCGCGUAAUGAAAGUGAACGGAGGUGGGAACCCUCACGGGUGCACCAUCGACCGAUCCUGAUGUCUUCGGAUGGAUUUGAGUAAGAGCAUAGCUGUUGGGACCCGAAAGAUGGUGAACUAUGCCUGAAUAGGGUGAAGCCAGAGGAAACUCUGGUGGAGGCUCGCAGCGGUUCUGACGUGCAAAUCGAUCGUCAAAUUUGGGUAUAGGGGCGAAAGACUAAUCGAACCAUCUAGUAGCUGGUUCCUGCC
rnacentral:rRNA from 1 species